UACGGGGGGGGUAAGCGUUGUUCGGAAUUACUGGGCGUAAAGGGCUCGUAGGCGGCCAACUAAGUCAGACGUGAAAUCCCCAGGCUCAACCUGGGAACUGCGUCUGAUACUGGGUGGCUUGAAUUCGGGAGAGGGAUGCAGAAUUCCAGGUGUAGCGGUGAAAUGCGUAGAUAUCUGGAGGAAUACCGGUGGCGAAGGCGGCAUCCUGGACCGACAUUGACGCUGAGGAGCGAAAGCUAGGGGAGCAAACGGG
rnacentral:rRNA from 1 species